rnacentral:lncRNA from 1 species
UCCAUAUAUAGAGGGUUGGUUUAUUUGCAUCGCUUUCCAUAUUUGUUUAUAUAGAGAUUGUAAUCAUUAUGAGGAUCGAAAUCUUCUUCUGUUCAAUAACUAAAAAAUAUCAAAACUAAUAUACGAUGACCUUUCUGGAUCUAAUACGAUUCUCUAUCCAUCCUUCUCCUUACUCAUGGCUACAAAGACAGACAUUCAUAGUUUCAUGCACCCA